rnacentral:ncRNA from 2 species
AGAAUCUUGAUGAUGCUGC